rnacentral:lncRNA from 1 species
AAAAACAAAGCAGAAAAACUGGAAACUCUAAAAAGCAGAGCGCCUCUCCUCCUCCAAAGGAACACAGUUCCUCACCAGCAACAGAACAAAGCUGGAUGGAGAAUGACUUUGACGAGUUGAGAGAAGAAGGCUUCAGACGAUCAAACUACUCCGAGCUACAGGAGGAAAUACAAACCAAAGGCAAUGAAGUUAAAAACUUUGAAAAAAAUUUAAGAACCAAAGACAAAACCACAUGAUUAUCUCAAUAGAUGCAGAAAAGGCCUUUGACAAAAUUCAACAACUCUUCAUGCUAAAAACUCUCAAUAAGUUAGAUAUUAAUGGGACGUAUCUCAAAAUAAGAGCUAUCUAUGACAAACCCACAGCCAAUAUCAUACUGAAUGGGCAAAAACUGGAAGCAUUCCCUUUGAAAACUGGCACAAGACAGGGAUGCCCUCUCUCACCACUCCUAUUUCCCUUCCUUACACCUUAUACAAAAAUAAAUUCAAGAUGGAUUAAAGACUUAAACGUUAGACCUAAAACCAUAAAAGUCCUAGAAGAAAACCUAGGCAUUACCAUUCAGGAUACAGCACAUCUCCAAAUUCAAGAGCUGACACCCUUAUGCAAUUCAGUGUUAACAGAAAACCA